rnacentral:rRNA from 1 species
AUUGAACGCUGGCGGCAUGCCUUACACAUGCAAGUCGAACGGCAGCACGGGUGCUUGCACCUGGUGGCGAGUGGCGAACGGGUGAGUAAUAUAUCGGAACGUACCUUAUUGUGGGGGAUAACGCAGCGAAAGCUGUGCUAAUACCGCAUAAUCCCUAAGGGGGAAAGCGGGGGACCGUAAGGCCUCGCGCAAUUAGAGCGGCCGAUACCUGAUUAGCUAGUUGGUGAGGUAAAGGCUCACCAAGGCAACGAUCAGUAGCUGGUCUGAGAGGACGAUCAGCCACACCGGGACUGAGACACGGCCCAGACUCCUACGGGGGGCAGCAGUGGGGAAUUUUGGACAAUGGGGGCAACCCUGAUCCAGCAAUGCCGCGUGAGUGAAGAAGGCCUUCGGGUUGUAAAGCUCUUUUGUCAGGGAAGAAACAGCAGCUCUAACACAGUUUGCGAAUGACGGUACCUGAAGAAUAAGCACCGGCUAACUACAUGCCAGCAGCCGCGGUAA